rnacentral:rRNA from 1 species
UGAAAUAGAACCUGAAACCGUGUGCUUACAAGUAGUCAGAGCCCGUUAAUGGGUGAUGGCGUGCCUUUUGUAGAAUGAACCGGCGAGUUACGAUUUGAUGCAAGGUUAAGCAGUAAAUGUGGAGCCGUAGCGAAAGCGAGUCUGAAUAGGGCGUUUAGUAUUUGGUCGUAGACCCGAAACCAGGUGAUCUACCCUUGGUCAGGUUGAAGUUCAGGUAACACUGAAUGGAGGACCGAACCGACUUACGUUGAAAAGUGAGCGGAUGAACUGAGGGUAGCGGAGAAAUUCCAAUCGAACCUGGAGAUAGCUGGUUCUCUCCGAAAUAGCUUUAGGGCUAGCCUCAAGUGAUGAUUAUUGGAGGUAGAGCACUGUUUGGACGAGGGGCCCCUCUCGGGUUACCGAAUUCAGACAAACUCCGAAUGCCAAUUAAUUUAACUUGGGAGUCAGAACAUGGGUGAUAAGGUCCGUGUUCGAAAGGGAAACAGCCCAGACCACCAGCUAAGGUCCCAAAAUAUAUGUUAAGUGGAAAAGGAUGUGGCGUUGCCCAGACAACUAGGAUGUUGGCUUAGAAGCAGCCAUCAUUUAAAGAGUGCGUAAUAGCUCACUAGUCGAGUGACACUGCGCCGAAAAUGUACCGGGGCUAAACAUAUUACCGAAGCUGUGGAUUGUCCUUUGGACAAUGGUAGGAGAGCGUUCUAAGGGCGUUGAAGCAUGAUCGUAAGGACAUGUGGAGCGCUUAGAAGUGAGAAUGCCGGUGUGAGUAGCGAAAGACGGGUGAGAAUCCCGUCCACCGAUUGACUAAGGUUUCCAGAGGAAGGCUCGUCCGCUCUGGGUUAGUCGGGUCCUAAGCUGAGGCCGACAGGCGUAGGCGAUGGAUAACAGGUUGAUAUUCCUGUACCACCUAUAAUCGUUUUAAUCGAUGGGGGGACGCAGUAGGAUAGGCGAAGCGUGCGAUUGGAUUGCACGUCUAAGCAGUAAGGCUGAGUAUUAGGCAAAUCCGGUACUCGUUAAGGCUGAGCUGUGAUGGGGAGAAGACAUUGUGUCUUCGAGUCGUUGAUUUCACACUGCCGAGAAAAGCCUCUAGAUAGAAAAUAGGUGCCCGUACCGCAAACCGACACAGGUAGUCAAGAUGAGAAUUCUAAGGUGAGCGAGCGAACUCUCGUUAAGGAACUCGGCAAAAUGACCCCGUAACUUCGGGAGAAGGGGUGCUCUUUAGGGUUAACGCCCAGAAGAGCCGCAGUGAAUAGGCCCAAGCGACUGUUUAUCAAAAACACAGGUCUCUGCUAAACCGUAAGGUGAUGUAUAGGGGCUGACGCCUGCCCGGUGCUGGAAGGUUAAGAGGAGUGGUUAGCUUCUGCGAAGCUACGAAUCGAAGCCCCAGUAAACGGCGGCCGUAACUAUAACGGUCCUAAGGUAGCGAAAUUCCUUGUCGGGUAAGUUCCGACCCGCACGAAAGGCGUAACGAUUUGGGCACUGUCUCAACGAGAGACUCGGUGAAAUCAUAGUACCUGUGAAGAUGCAGGUUACCCGCGACAGGACGGAAAGACCCCGUGGAGCUUUACUGUAGCCUGAUAUUGAAAUUCGGCACAGCUUGUACAGGAUAGGUAGGAGCCUUUGAAACGUGAGCGCUAGCUUACGUGGAGGCGCUGGUGGGAUACUACCCUAGCUGUGUUGGCUUUCUAACCCGCACCACUUAUCGUGGUGGGAGACAGUGUCAGGCGGGCAGUUUGACUGGGGCGGUCGCCUCCUAAAAGGUAACGGAGGCGCUCAAAGGUUCCCUCAGAAUGGUUGGAAAUCAUUCAUAGAGUGUAAAGGCAUAAGGGAGCUUGACUGCGAGACCUACAAGUCGAGCAGGGUCGAAAGACGGACUUAGUGAUCCGGUGGUUCCGCAUGGAAGGGCCAUCGCUCAACGGAUAAAAGCUACCCCGGGGAUAACAGGCUUAUCUCCCCCAAGAGUUCACAUCGACGGGGAGGUUUGGCACCUCGAUGUCGGCUCAUCGCAUCCUGGGGCUGUAGUCGGUCCCAAGGGUUGGGCUGUUCGCCCAUUAAAGCGGUACGCGAGCUGGGUUCAGAACGUCGUGAGACAGUUCGGUCCCUAUCCGUCGUGGGCGUAGGAAAUUUGAGAGGAGCUGUCCUUAGUACGAGAGGACCGGGAUGGACAUACCUCUGGUGUACCAGUUGUCGUGCCAACGGCAUAGCUGGGUAGCUAUGUGUGGACGGGAUAAGUGCUGAAAGCAUCUAAGCAUGAAGCCCCCCUCAAGAUGAGAUUUCCCAACUUCGGUUAUAAGAUCCCUCAAAGAUGAUGAGGUUAAUAGGUUCGAGGUGGAAGCAUGGUGACAUGUGGAGCUGACGAAUACUAAUCGAUCGAAGACUUAAUCAA